rnacentral:lncRNA from 1 species
GCAAAUUUUUUGUUUUUAGCUACUGUAGCACUUUCGUUUUUAUUUGACAAAUAUUGUCCAAUCACAGAGUAACUAGGCUCAAAAGAUUCAUCUCACAAAUUACAGAUAAACUGUACAAUUAGUUUUUAUUUUCGUCUAUAUUUAAUGCUCCAUGCAUGUGACCAAAGAUUUGAUGUGACGGGGAAUCUUAAAUUUUUUUGCAAACUAAACAAGGCCUUAGUAUCAUUAGAAAGAUCUUUGAAUUUAGUUUUUUAAUAAAUUUAUUUAGAGAUAAAAAUAUUGCACGUAUUUUCUAUAAAUCGAGUUUAAACUUAUAGCAUGCACACCAACAAUGACAGCUAUUAAGGAACAAAGAGAAUAUGUCGAAUCUAAUUACUAGAAAAAAAAACCAAAUUGCCUUAAUGGGUCAAUAUGAACUUUUUUUAGAAAGGAGAUUAACUCAGCUUUUAAGAAAGCGAAUAACAGAGUCUUUACAUAUUAGGGAUACCAGUUUAAAAAUGUAGUGAAAAAAAAGCAAAAACAAAAACAAAAACAAAAACAAACUCAGCAACUCGGCGGAACUUCAAACCUGGGAAGCAAACUUGCACCAAACCAAGCAACCAACCCUAGGACAAGAUCCUACCCCAUCGAAACUGAAGACACAAGUCUAAGGGUGUGUUUGGUUGGGCUGUGACUUUUGGAAAAACUACUGUGAGCUUUGAGCUUUUGAAAAGCUGCUGUGGGAUGUGGGUUUUGAAAAAUCCAAAAGUCAUUUGGUUGGUCACUUGUAACUUUUGGAAAAAAAACUGAACAGAUCCCAAAAGUUAGUGAAAGCAGGGGGUGAG